rnacentral:rRNA from 1 species
UACGUAGGGGGCAAGCGUUGUCCGGAUUUAUUGGGCGUAAAGAGCGUGUAGGCGGCCUGACAGGUCUGCUGUGAAAACUCGAGGCUCAACCUCGAGAUGUCGGCGGAAACCGUCUGGCUAGAGUCCGGAAGAGGAGAGUGGAAUUCCUGGUGUAGCGGUGAAAUGCGCAGAUAUCAGGAAGAACACCUAUGGCGAAGGCAGCUCUCUGGGACGGUACUGACGCUGAGACGCGAAAGCGUGGAGAGCGAACAGG